rnacentral:rRNA from 1 species
GAUCUUUAUAUUUAAUUUUUAUUAAUAAUAAUAAGUUAUAUUUUAUUUUAAUUUAGUAGAAUAUUUUAUUGGGGUAAUAAUAAAAUUUAUAUAAUUUUUAUUUAUUUUUUACAAAUAUAAUUGUUUACUUGAUCCAAUAUUAUUGAUUAUAAAUUUAAGUUACCUUAGGGAUAACAGCAUAAUGAUUUUUGAGAGUUCUUAUUGA